rnacentral:rRNA from 1 species
CAAUAAAUCACAAUGCGGAACAAUGUUUUGCAAUUGGAUUGAGAACAACGUACAAACCUUAUCGAUAAACAAUUGGAGGGCAAGUCUGGUGCCAGCAGCCGCGGUAAUUCCAGCUCCAAUAGCGUAUAUUAACGUUGUUGCAGUUAAAAAGCUCGUAGUUGAAAUGAAGGGUAGUUGUGUAAUGAAUACAUUCGUGUAUUUUGUUAUUCUACUACCCUCCUUCUAAAUUCGAUAUAUGAGUAUUAAUUUACUUGUAUAUGGUUUUAGACCUUUACUGUGAGAAAAUUAGAGUGUUCAAAGCAGGCAUUUGCUUGAAUAUAUUAGCAUGGAAUAAUCAUGUAUGAUUUUCAUGAUGUAUUUGAUUGGUUUGGUUCAUGAGAAUAAGAUUAAAAGGGACAGUUGGGGGUAUUCAUAUUCAAUAGUCAGAGGUGAAAUUCUCGGAUUUAUGGAAGA